rnacentral:rRNA from 1 species
AUUGAACGCUGGCGGCAUGCUUUACACAUGCAAGUCGAACGGCAGCGCGGGCUUCGGCCUGGCGGCGAGUGGCGAACGGGUGAGUAAUACAUCGGAACGUGCCCAGUAGUGGGGGAUAGCUCGGCGAAAGCCGGAUUAAUACCGCAUACGACCUGAGGGUGAAAGCGGGGGAUCUUCGGACCUCGCGCUAUUGGAGCGGCCGAUGGCAGAUUAGCUAGUUGGUGGGGUAAAGGCCUACCAAGGCGACGAUCUGUAGCUGGUCUGAGAGGACGACCAGCCACACUGGGACUGAGACACGGCCCAGACUCCUACGGGAGGCAGCAGUGGGGAAUUUUGGACAAUGGGCGAAAGCCUGAUCCAGCAAUGCCGCGUGUGUGAUGAAGGCCUUCGGGUUGUAAAGCACUUUUGGCGGGAACGAAAAGGACUGUGCCAAUACCACGGAUCGAUGACGGUACCCGCAGAAUAAGCACCGGCUAACUACGUG